GAUGAACGCUGGCGGCGUGCCUAAUACAUGCAAGUCGAGCGAACGGACGAGAAGCUUGCUUCUCUGAUGUUAGCGGCGGACGGGUGAGUAACACGUGGAUAACCUACCUAUAAGACUGGGAUAACUUCGGGAAACCGGAGCUAAUACCGGAUAAUAUUUUGAACCGCAUGGUUCAAAAGUGAAAGACGGUCUUGCUGUUACUUAUAGAUGGAUCCGCGCUGCAUUAGCUAGUUGGUAAGGUAACGGCUUACCAAGGCAACGAUGCAUAGCCGACCUGAGAGGGUGAUCGGCCACACUGGAACUGAGACACGGUCCAGACUCCUACGGGAGGAAGCAGUAGGGAAUCUUCCGCAAAGGGCGAAAGCCUGACGGAGCAACGCCGCGUGAGUGAUGAAGGUCUUCGGAUCGUAAAACUCUGUUAUUAGGGAAGAACAUAUGUGUAAGUAACUGUGCACAUCUUGACGGUACCUAAUCAGAAAGCCACGGCUAACUACGUG
rnacentral:rRNA from 1 species